rnacentral:rRNA from 1 species
GACGAACGCUGGCGGCGUGCCUAAUACUGCAAGUUGAGCGCUGAAGGUUGGUACUUGUACCAACUGGAUGAGCAGCGAACGGGUGAGUAACGCGUGGGGAAUCUGCCUUUGAGCGGGGGACAACAUUUGGAAACGAAUGCUAAUACCGCAUAAAAACUUUAAACACAAGUUUUAAGUUUGAAAGAUGCAAUUGCAUCACUCAAAGAUGAUCCCGCGUUGUAUUAGCUAGUUGGUGAGGUAAAGGCUCACCAAGGCGAUGAUACAUAGCCGACCUGAGAGGGUGAUCGGCCACAUUGGGACUGAGACACGGCCCAAACUCCUACGGGAGGCAGCAGUAGGGAAUCUUCGGCAAUGGACGAAAGUCUGACCGAGCAACGCCGCGUGAGUGAAGAAGGUUUUCGGAUCGUAAAACUCUGUUGGUAGAGAAGAACGUUGGUGAGAGUGGAAAGCUCAUCAAGUGACGGUAACUACCCAGAAAGGGACGGCUAACUACGUG